UACGUAGGGUGCAAGCGUUAAUCGGAAUUAUUGGGCGUAAAGAGCUCGUAGGCGGUUUUGUCGCGUCUGCUGUGAAAACCCGAGGCUCAACCUCGGGCCUGCAGUGGGUACGGGCAGACUAGAGUGCGGUAGGGGAGAUUGGAAUUCCUGGUGUAGCGGUGGAAUGCGCAGAUAUCAGGAGGAACACCGAUGGCGAAGGCAGAUCUCUGGGCCGUAACUGACGCUGAGGAGCGAAAAGCAUGGGGAGCGAACAGG
rnacentral:rRNA from 1 species